GCUCCUGAGAGUGAAAGAAACCCCUGUGAAUAUGUAAUUUUAUUAAACUGUUGAUUUUUUCCCCCAUGCUAUGCAGCACACAGCUGUGGUAACAGAAGUACCUAGAAGAGUUUGGGAAUGUAGUAAGAAUUGAUGGGUUUUGCUCUCUGACACUGAGCAGAUAUCUGCUGCUAUAAGUACAGAUAUAACUUUCAAUGCCCCCUUUCAUAUGAUUUCUGAUUUCUUCAGCCUCCUCACAGAGACACCUCAAGUGCCCUCUCCUGUCCCAUGUAUCUUUUGAGCUAUUCCAUGGCACUAUUUUUUAAAUUUUGGCAUUACCUGGUAAUCCAGGUAGCCCUGGAUAUCCAGGGUCACCCUUGGAUCCUGGUCUUCCAGGCUGUCCUUGGAUACCUGGUAAACCCUUCUCCCCUGGAAAUCCACAAAGUCCUUAAAGGGGAAAAAAAAAAAAAAAAGCAUUUGCUACAUAAUGGUUCAAAAUGCACAGGGAGCAGAGCUCCCUCUGCUAACAAAACUUAGAGUAAAGACAAUUUUGAGUCUAAUUUUGUCUUCAGUCAAAGAGACGUACCUGGCAAUCCUGGAUCUCCCAGAGACCCUUUCUGACCAUGUGGACCAAGCACAGGAGUUGGGUCACCUCUCUUGCCUGUUGAGCAUGUCUAUAUAAACUCAUUACCUUUACAUCCUUUGGAGCCAGUCAGUCCUGGAUAUCCAGGGCUUCCAGCGUAGUGGAGCCUGGACUUCAACCACCUGGCAAAACACUACAUCAGAACAGGCAGCCAGAAGAGGUCCUUUCCUAACUCCCACCACAGUUCCUGCUGAAAUGUAACCAAGGCACAGAGGUGUUUCAGUAGGGAAUUUACAGUUCCUACUACACCGGCUGGCUCUUCUCAGAGGGAACAUCUAAUGGACUUCAACCCACAACCCAUUGAAGAAGGGAAUUUCUGGAGGGUGGUGACUGCUGGAUGAGGCUGUCCUCUGAGAAGUGAACACAGCAGGAAGCCUGAAGGACCAAUUGGUCCAACUGACCCCAUUUCACCAACAGGACCUGGAAAUCCAGGAUCUCCUCGUGGACCUACAGAGAAUUACAGAAACAUGUAUGACCACAUGAUUAAAAUCUUGACUGAAGAAGCUGGUCUAGCAUUCUCCUGACAAUCCUAAAUUAGAAAUUCCAAUCCAUUAUGCCAACAGCCCAACUGGCAACAACACUGACUUUUUGCUACUAGGCAACACUCAAUAGGUGGUCUUGGGAAAAGGGGUUAAGGAGAGAGCACUAGGAGCAUUUCUCCGUGACCACAGACUGCCAGGAUGAAACAUGUUUAUGGGAAGGAAGAACAUAUUCCUCAACUCCCAAACUCAUAAGGUAAAACAAAAAUCUGUCUUAUUACCUUCCUCAAAAAUUACUUUUAGGCUUUGAUUCACAUUAAGGCAAGUUCUAAAAUGAGUAGACAAGAAUGAAUGCAUAGCCUAAGGCAAGGCUGUAUAACUGUGGGGAUCUUACAGGCAAGCCUGGAUGGCCUGGGUAUCCAGAUGGGCCUGUUGUACCUCUUGACCCCCUAGGUCCCUGGAAAAGAUUGAAAAAUGUCUUUUGUGAACACAGAAAUAACUUACCCUUUUUUACACAAACCCAGCCCCUCUAAAACACCUUGGACUCAGCCUACUGGCCACCGGAUUCCACCCACAGCCCAAAGCUUACGCCAUGCCUGAAAUCUCCCUGUGACUAGAGCAGCCAGCACCAGCUUCUAGGUAAUACUGGACAAGGCACAGUUCUAUGUUAUUAAUGCACAGAGAGUUCACUUUGCCAGCAAUUGUACUACGGUGCAGCGACUUGAUACAAUUCAUCAGUGAAUACUUUUUAAAAGGGUUUAACAAGAGGAACCCAAAGCCAUCAAGAAUGUGACUCAGCAACAAAAUUAAACUCUCUCUUCUUCUUUCAUGUUCUUAUGACUGGAAUAUGAUAGAGUGCUACUUAUUCUUGGGAGACGCAUCAGAUACUGUAGAAGAAGAAUUCACAACUUGAAUUUCACAGAGAGAAUAUUCUGUGAAUAUCCACACACAGCUAAUGCAGGUGUGGAUGGUCUGUUUCUACGCCCUUUCAGCCAACAUGAACUGGCCAUGGGAACAAACUAUACAGACUUGAUGCUUCUCAGACUUUAUUCUGGAAUUCUGCUAUUUAAGGCAGGCAGAGAGAAACCCCAAUAUUUCUUACCAUACUAAG